GUCAGGGAAUAGUUUAAAUAGAACUUCAGCUUUGGGUGUUGAUAGUGGGGCUAUGGCUU
rnacentral:tRNA from 1 species